GGUCAGGAUAAGGCUUUAUAAAUCAUAUUAAAUUGGGGCUUCAUGAAGUAUCUAUAACCUUGUCAUGCGUCUUGGUAGAGCAUUGCAACACCAGGAUAGUGGGUUAGAUUUCCGGGACCACCCGUAUGUAAACAUUUACGCACAACUGUAAAUCUCUUACCUUGAGAUGGGGGCUUUCAUAGAGGUCAGUGUUUCCUUCAGUUGGGGGGCUUUCAUCAAGGUCAGUGUUUCAUUAUGUUGAGUACUUUCAUCAAGGUCAGUGUUUCAUUAUGUUGAGGGGCUUUCAUCAAGGUCAGGGUUUCAUUAUGUUGAGGGGCUUUCAUCAAGGUCAGUGUUUCAUUAUGUUGAGGGGCUUUCAUCAAGGUCAGUGUUUCAUUAUGUUGAGGGACUUUCUUCAAGGUUGUCGUCCCCUUUACGCUGCUUCUAUUCUCUGUUUAUUGCCUAUGCAUCACUUUAACCUAAAUGUACAUAUUACUUCAAUUACCUUGACUAACAUUGACUCUGUACCGGUACCUCCUGUAUAUAGCCUCCACAUUGACUCUGUACCGGUACCCCCUGUAUAUAGCCU
ensembl:lncRNA